CCACCCCGACUUUCCUUCCACCCCAUGGAAGCCCCACUAACCCUUUUCUUCCCCCCCACAACCCCCCUGUCCAGCACUGGAGUCAUCCAGAAGGAACUAGAGGUGUCCCAGAAGGGUCUUGGGGGUGGCCAGGGUGUCCCCAAGUGGAUCUAGAGGGUCAUUGGAUUAAUCCAGAAGGGUCUGGAGAUGUCCUGGAGGGGUCUUGGGGUGUCCAGGGGGUCUCCCCCUUUUGACUAGCAGAGAGGUUAGGAAUUCCCAAAAGGAAAUGAAUUCCUUAACUGAGGAUCCUGUAAGAGGAGCAGAACAGUUAGAUCAAUUUGUGGAGCCUAAUUUCCUCUCAGGGAUGGCAAUGAUGUUUCUCAUGGGUAUGUUGUUUACUGGAGAAGAAGGAGGUGCAAUUCGGUGGGCAGCUGUGCAAGAGUGGGAAAGGAGUACAGAAGAAAGGUCGGGUCCUGUGGGGAGGUGGAGAGAGGAAGGAUCCUGAGGAUAAACUGUCCUGGUUAUUGUCACUGUCUUUGUGACUGUUAACUGUUUGUGGUGUGAAAGUAUUAUUAAGAAGCUGUUAUGGGACAAGGGGUGUCUAAGAAGAUACCAGAAAUGACUCCCUGGGUUGUAUUUUGGCUCACAGGAGAGACGUUGUGGGUGAGACAGAGGGAACAUCAAAUGAGAAACUGUCUCCACUCCUUGGAAUCCCUGAUGCAUUUAACUAGAAGGAGCACUGAUGGCCAUCGGUUGCUGUGUUAUCCUGUGUGUGAAGGGACUGGUUCAACAACUGAUCGAGACAGCACUAUUGAAGCAAACAGCAAGGGAGCUACCACCACAUUUGGAUAAAAUGAUGGUGUGAGAGGAGAUGGGGAAUGAAGACAGCAAAGAUGAUAUCUGUAAGAUUGUACCAUAUAAAAGAAUUGCAGAAAUCAACAAUGUAAGAAGAAGAAAAGGGGGGAAUUGUAGGAAUGGAAUGUUGUUUCUGCAUUAGAUACCGAAAAUGGGGAAUUGAUCCGAAGAAGUAGAGCACAAUGGAUUUGUAUUUUGUAACUUGUCCUUAGAAAUAGCUGAUGUGAAAAGGUAGAAAUACUGGAUAUGUUAGUAGCGUAUUUCAGAAGUAUAGCUGCUGAAUUAUGUGAUUAGUUCUUGCUGCAGAACUGCAAUGGUUUUUAAAUGUUCCAGAUAGUAUAGGGAUAGUACGAUGGACUAGAAAGCAUAUUGUAGGGCUAUUCUGUUUAGAUAAGAGAACCUCAGCAAGAGAAAAACAGACUUGACCAACAUCCAAGAAGCCAGGGCCUCUGCACAAGGUUGGAUUGCCUCGCUCUGUGGGUAGGUGCAACAGGCAGGCAUCAAGAUACUCCCCUCUAUCCUCCUGCCAAGCUUGUCUCUAUCCAAGGGCAAGCAGAUGCCCAGAAACAGUGACUGAGUGUUGAAUGAGCACACGUGAGCACACGUUAACUAAUGAGUGACAUGUGCUUAGCUAGCAACAAGUUAUGUUGAUCCAGUAUCCGUACGUUUAGCUGAGCAUCGGUAAGAUUGUGAACCUGAAGUACUCAGCCAAUGAGGAACCAAUGAGGGGAGAAAGAGGUAAGCGUCGAUAACAGGGAGUAAAAGUGGAAGGCUGUUUUCUGUGUGCUCUCCUGCUUGCAGGAGGCCUGCCAUUGCAGUUGUGCAGAGAUUCUGCUUUAUCAGAGAUACCGUCCUGAUAAAUUAUUUGUAUUUGCCUAUUUCCAAGGUGGCAAGCACACCCCCUUCAGGGCACAUCUCAUCCCACUGUUAGUCAGUCCUUGUAAGAAGCACCACGACAAAUCCACCUGAAAAACACAGCCCUUCCAUUGAGUAACAAAGAAAGCACUCUGCCCUUGCUCCUGACCCUCGUCCCUGCUCCCACCUGCCCUCACAGUACAGCCACCUUGAGCAGGGUAAAGAGCAGUGAGAAUUCAUACUUGGUUAUCCUGGCACAAAGAGUUUGUGGGCCACAAAGAGAAAUGCCUGCAUUCCAGAAAACAGAGACAAAAAGAGACAGACGGAGGAGUGCCUAAUAAAGAUGUGACGAUGUUCUCAGCUGCGACUGGUGUUGCUGGAUACAAGCAACCACACGAGGUUGAGCACGCUCUCCUGUCUCUAUCCCAAUCCAAGAAACACACAGAAGAGCUCAGUGCUCUCUUGCUUUCAUUUCCUUCCAUGAGCCAUUUUAAAAUGCACGUUGUUCUAGGCCGGCACAAGCUCUAGGGCCUAAAGCCACAGCCUGAGUGGCCGGCACAGCCACGGGGGACUAAAGCCACGGGGGACUAAAGCCCCCGGGGACUAAAGCCUCAGCCUGAGAGGCAUGAGGUCCCUGUGGUCUAAAGCCACCACAAGAGAGGCCAGCACCGACCCCAGCGCCUAAAGCCACAGCCAGAGAUGCCUAAACAGACCCCGGGGCCUGAAGCCGCAGGCAGGCAGGCCUGCACUGGCACUGCAUCCUGAAGACUCAUCCUCAGCCUGAGAGGUCAGCACUCAGCCCUGGGCCUACAGCCACAGCCAGAGGCAGAGAGGCCAGCACAGCCCGGGGGCAGAAAGCCAGACUCAUGGCAUUGAGAGGCCAGCACCAGCUCCAGGGCCUAAAGCCACAGACACAUCCAGUGAGUCUGGCACCAGCCCUGGGGCCUAAAGCCA
rnacentral:lncRNA from 7 species